GGGUGCGAUCAUACCAGCACUAAAGCACCGGAUCCCAUCAGAACUCCGCAGUUAAGCGUGCUUGGGCGAGAGUAGUACUGGGAUGGGUGACCUCCUGGGAAGUCCUCGUGUUGCACCCA
rnacentral:rRNA from 1 species